CCUACGGGUGGCAGCAGUGAGGAAUAUUGGUCAAUGGACGAGAGUCUGAACCAGCCAAGUAGCGUGAAGGAUGACUGCCCGAUGGGGUGUAAACUUCUUGUAUAGGGGAAUAAAAUGUGCCACGUGUGGGAUUUUGUAUGUACCAUAUGAAUAAGGAUCGGCUAACUCCGUGCCAGCAGCCGCGGUAAUACGGAGGAUCCGAGCGUUAUGCGGAUUUAUUGGGUUUCAAGGGAGCGUAGGUGGAUUGUUAAGUCCGUUGUGAAAGUUUGCGGCGCAACCGGAAAAUUGCAGUUGACACUGGCAGUCUUGAGUACAGUCGAGGUGGGCGGAAUUCGUUGUGUAGCGGUGACAUGCUUAGAUCUCA
rnacentral:rRNA from 1 species